GAUGAACGCUGGCGGCGUGCCUAAUACAUGCAAGUCGAGCGAACGGACGAGAAGCUUGCUUCUCUGAUGUUAGCGGCGGACGGGUGAGUAACACGUGGAUAACCUACCUAUAAGACUGGGAUAACUUCGGGAAACCGGAGCUAAUACCGGAUGAUAUUUUGAACCGCAUGGUUCAAAAGUGAAAGACGGUCUUGCUGUCACUUAUAGGUGGAUCCGCGCUGCAUUAGCUAGUUGGUAAGGUAACGGCUUACCAAGGCAACGAUGCAUAGCCGACCUGAGAGGGUGAUCGGCCACACUGGAACUGAGACACGGCCCAGACUCCUACGGGAGGCAGCAGUAGGGAAUCUUCCGCAAUGGGCGAAAGCCUGACGGAGCAACGCCGCGUGAGUGAUGAAGGUCUUCGGAUCGUAAAACUCUGUUAUUAGGGAAGAACAUAUGUGUAAGUAACUGUGCACAUCUUGACGGUACCUAAUCAGAAAGCCACGGCUAACUACGUG
rnacentral:rRNA from 1 species